GUAGAGUUAGAAAUAUUUGAGUAACAUAGUAGAUUUGAAUUAGAUUAGAGAUAUCGAAAAUAAAGAAAAUCAAGUUAUGAAAGGCAAAACAAGUUAGUAGUAAACCAUAGGAGUAAAUUGAUCCUAGAGUAGCAACCUUAAUAAGGAAGUAAUAGAAGUGAGAAAGAAUCAUAAAAGAUUUAAAAAUCUAUUUAACCAGUAUCAAGGAGGGUAAUGUGUGAACGUAGCUAAUUUGGCAAGUGAAGUGUGGUGAACCCUACCCAUGGAUAUAUCCUCAGCCAUAUGUGGUUGGGAAGUCUCGUACAUAUCCGUCCCGUGUUUAGGUGUAUGUGGAAAGUGAUAAGUGAUUCUCAAUACAUAAUUAUUUCAUGUUUAGGUGCAUUAGGAAAGUGAAAGUAAUAAAGUGAUGUGAUAUAUCAUUGUGGUAGAGGAGAUCCUUAGUGCCCUCAUUGAUGCUGGCAGAAAUGACAUCGCACAAUGAAACUAUUUGUUAAUAAAACAAAAAAUGAAUAAAAAUGAACCUAAAACUAAGUAUCAAGAAUAUGGUAUAGAACACAAUUGAGAUGUAAUGUUCAAUGAAGUGUUUAGGCCAUUAAAGGGCGAAUGAUUUGAAAAAUUGCAAUAUGAUGUAGUGACAUGUUGU
rnacentral:lncRNA from 1 species